CUAUCAAAAUAAUUAGGUGUACAACGGUGAACAAUGACCCUGUGUAGUGUGUACAUUAUUUGAUAAUUAUGAUUAUUGAUUAUCAUAUCAUUGCAUAUUAUUAUGAUGAUUGAAUCAUAUUAACUCGUGAAACCAACGUUUUGGUAAAAUACGAUUGAUAUACUCGAUGGAAGUUCCUAGUCAUGACCUGGGCGUAGACCUAAACAACAAUAGUUCAUAGACGAAACUUAAUUCCAUUGUGGUACCUUCCCUAUUAUAGUUAAAUUAAAAUGUUGGAUAAACUAUGUUACACGAUCAUCGCUGCCAAACAAAUGGGAAGAUCCGGAAAUGGUGACGAAAAUACGCGAUUAGAUUGUCCCUAAAUAUGUAGUACGCUAUCUUGGUUGCUUCAUCACUGAAUCGGACGUUUGGAUUUGCAUGGAACUCGUGGCUAUACGUGUGUUUCGAUACCAGAAGAUAUAUUAGGAAAAGUUACAUUGGCUGUAGACUGUGAAAGCUCUUCAUUAUUUAAAAAGAAUCCCAUGGCGUCAUUCACAGAGAUGUUAAACCAUCGAAUAUCCUGUUAGAUGAGAAAGGCAGUGAUUUUGGCUUCUCUAGAAGUCUGGUAGAUUCUAAAGCGAAAACCAAAAAUGCUGGAUGCGCCACUUGUAUGGCUGUAAGUGACCAAUCUGUUGCUUUCUUUUAAAAUGUGUAAUUCUUUAAAUAUUAUCCAACACUGCAAUGAUUUGUGCAGCCGAAAAGAAUCGAGCCACCUGAUCCUAAAAAGCUCGAUUAUGAUAUAAGAGCUGACGUAUGGAGUUAGGUAUCAUGUUGGUUGAAUUAGUCACCGGCGUUUUCCCUUAAUAUUUUUCUCUCUUUUCUUUUUUUAUAAAUCCGAAUGAAUAGGUACUCAUGCAGGCGUUUAACGUAGGCCUGUACAAAAAACCGUGUAUCAAACACUUUUUUUCUAUUUUAUCGAGGUUAAUGUCUAUAAAAGUUGAUUUGUUGAUUUUCUGACUGGUAUGGCAAAAGAUUGACUAGGAAUGUGUAGAUAAUAUUACUAUAGGUACAUCAUUAACGCGAAUGAUUCGAUUUUGUCAAAUUUAUAAUAAAUUUGACACGCACUGUAAUACAAACUUACAUAUGAACCCAACUAUUAGUAUUUCUGUUGAGGAACGAAAAAAAGGAAAAUGUAACCAAAGUAACCCGGUCUGAUUAUCGAAAGGACAUAAUGUUAGAUUAUGUCCCAUUAGCCCAUUACACUCGUACACAGGACCAAUCAAAACUUGAAUUUUUUUUCUUCCAAUUGACGAAAGCAUAGACUUCGAGGUCGAUAGAAAAUUACCACCGUUUGCGUUGAAUAACUCGACCAAGUAGGUAAUUACCUUUGACCAUCGUUUGCGUCGAAUCGUGUGCCCAAAUAUCGCGGUUACAUGACAUGAGUACCCUGCUCAAAAAUUUUAAAAAUCUAAAAAAAAAUAUUUUUGAGACAAAAGUUCAAAAAUUGGUUCGGAUGUUCAAGUCGAUUUAUAAAAGCUAUCGAGAUCACCUUCGAAUUGAUCUGAAGCUUUGCACGAAAAGUUGACAUUUCUCCAGCGAUUUGAAAUUGCUCCGGAAGACGUUUCAAUUAUACUUGAUUUUGCGUAAGUAAGCUCUUGAUCGGCUUUUGUCUAAUUUUAAAAUUGAAAGGACUAGAAAAUAUAUUUUAAAAGAAAAAAAUUGAGAAAAACGUACUUAUUUUUAACCUUGGGAAUGGGUAGGUAAUACUUUGGAAAAUACACAAAUUUUGUCAUUGUGAAAUUUUGCCUAACUUUGAAAUUGAAGGGGCCAGAAAUAUUUGUUUCUUUUAAAAUAUUUCUAGCUGCCAGAACUUCAAAAUUUUGUUUUAUGAUCAAAUGGCCCAAAAUCAGGAAAUGAAUGAAAAAUUGUGCUCAAAAUUUUCGAAAAGUGCAAAAUUGAAAAUUCAAUUCAAUUAUGUAUUUACUUAUUGUCUGGUACAUAUCAUCAAAAAAUAAUUGCGUUUUCCUCCACAAAUGAAAAUGUUCAAAAGCUUUCACCCUCACUUCUCUCGGGCAUUUAUGUCUACUUUAUCUUUUUUUCUGAAACAAGAUGAAAAAUGAAAUGCGAAAUUUUGGAUCGGCUCAGGGCUCAGCUGUCGACGCAAAUUUUUUACUGUGCAGCGGAUACCAUCGACAUGAACCAAAUGGGAAAAAACACAAGAGGCAUUGGGUUAAUAUUUAAAAAUAAAAUAUUACUUAAUCUCUCUUUGAAAAUGAAUAAUGUUCAAUUUAAGACAACUGCGACACACGUUUGUCUAAUUGUAAGACUGGUACCUUUCAGGUCUUACUUUCAAUUUUGGAGGGAGGGGGGGCUCGAUGGGUACACUUUUCCAUCCCUACUUCUUUUGAUACCACUUGCGCUUGUUGAAAACUCAUUUCAGGGGUUCCCACUUUAUAUAUUUAUGAACCAUUUCAAGUACUUUUUCGCGUGACAUUAUUAUGGCCCAUGACAGCGUGAAAUAAAAGUCUGUACAUAUAAUGACACAUUUACGCAUAGCAUCAUGAGUAGUAAGAUUAUUGCUCAUCUUUGUAACAAUAAAAUGACAAUUUAUACCAUGCCGUUUUCAAUUAGCCAAUUGGAAGAAUUUUGUACAUCAACUAUAAACCUUGCUACAAUGCUACAUGUUGUAUGUCUCAAAGAGUUAGCCUUCUAAAAAUCAUCCCAUUCCAUCACAUCUUAGUAGUGUGCUACCAGCCUAAAAUGGCACAUUUUACAUAUUAAACAGUUGGUUGAUAAUUACAUUCUAACAUUUUUUUUUUUAGUUCAAGAAGUAGAACCAAGACUUGAAAAAAUUGAAUUUUUCAUUAAAAUCGUUUUAAAAAAAAAAAAACUUAGUAACCACAAUUUUGAAAAAGUAACCAAUACUUAGUCACUUUUAGUGAUUGUAGUAACUUGGAUACUUAUUCUUAUUGUGAAAAUUAUGUCAUAAACCUGUCUUUAUUUUGAGUGAGGAAGCUCAAUGGUACUUUUAUGGUUUAAAGGCAGAAAUUGAGAAUGCUUUGAAUGUCUAUCUAGAGAUUAAACAACGUGUUAUACGAGUAAAGUUUUUUAUAUGUACAUAUCUAUACUGAUAUAGUGAGACUGUAAUUUGCAGGCGCUGUGAUACAGCAGUAUAAAAUUGAUGAGAAACCUUUCUUCAAACCAAGUAUGUAGUUUUGUAUCUUGUGUUUUGAAACCAUGUGAAUGGAAUUAUUCUAUAAUGAGAGCUCUGGGCAGUUGCAGUGUUACUUCUUAAAAAUUACGUAUCAGGUAAGGUGCACUGGGGUAAGUCAGAAACCCUGCUCUAGCGCUUAGAGGUUUAUAUCUGCCGAAGUGCUUACCUAAAGGUUACUUGAGGUGCUACCUCUACUUCAUCAUGGCAUAAAAAUUUUUGCGAUCCCGUUUCAUUUUACAAUGCCUCUGGUAGAAAAUGCUAAAGAUGAACGAGCUACAUAAUAUGUUUGACAGUGAGCUAGAUCUGUGUAAGUAUAAAAAUAAUGACGAUGUUUGGAGAAUUUAUACCCCAUAUGUAUAGCUUGCAAAAGUCAUUGGUUAGGCAUCACCUUCACAAUAUUAUGGUCAUGUUGACGGAAGAAGUUGUCAGUAAUCAUUCACAGAUUUUUUUGAUUAGCAUAAUAUCACCAUCUAGGUAUUUAAUUUGGGUAAUCAAUGCAUGUCUUGUCAACUGCUCACAGAACUUUUUCUAAAACUUAUCUGGUCUGUUGAAUUCUUCAGUAAUUACUAGGUUCAACUUUGGAUCUUUAUGGCCAAUUGAUAACACUAGGCAACAAUUUUUGACCUUUUUUUUGUUUUCGGGUUGAAAAUUGGCUUAAUCGAUAGUUUAGACCCUAAAACAAAAAACAGAGUGGGGUUUUUCAAUUUGAGUUGUUUUUGUGGUCAGGAGAGAUGAUCAAAGUUGCAAAAAUGGCGGUUUUUGCCCUAUUUCACGAGUCUGUGGCGACAUCAGUAUCAUGUUUCAAAAAAAACCAAGGUCAUAUUCGGAUUCUACGCACUUUUUUAAGUAAACAUCUUUACCGGAUUUUUGAUUUUCGAACAUUCAAGCGCAUACGGAAGAUUUUUGUUUGUAACAUAUUUUAAAACUCAGAGCGCGCGACGCUGGCGUUACUCCACGAUGUAAUCGUGGCGCGGAACCGUGUUCGCGCGGGCGAGGUUCUCGUGCAGUAAAAAUUUCGUGUUACAAACGAAAAUCUUCCGUAUGCGCUUGAAUGUUCGAAAAUCAAAAAUCCGGUAAAGAUGUUUACUUAAAAAAGUGCGUAGAAUCCGAAUAUGACCUUGUUUUUUUUUGAAACAUGAUACUGAUGUCGCCACAGACUCGUGAAAUAGGGCAAAAACCGCCAUUUUUGCAACUUUGAUCAUCUCUCCUGACUACAAAAACAACUCAAAUUGAAAAACCUCACUCUGUUUUUUGUUUUAGGGUCUAAACUAUCGAUUAAGCCCAUUUUCGACCCGAAAACAAAUAUGCCGUUGCCUAGUGUAAUGGGUAGAGUUGGUGUGAAUAUGAUCUUGGUGAUUGAAGAUGAAUUUACCAAAUUCAAAAUUUAUUCUUUUAAUUUUCUUUCUUAACUUUUUCUAAAUCUCUUUUUGAUUGUUGAGAUUUUCUACUUUUUAUAUAUAAGUAUUUCUUAUCAUUUCUAUAAUUUUUUUGUCAAACUUUUUUUAUUUGUCUCUGUUUUCAUUCAGUUUCAUUUUAAUUUUUUCAGUUAUUAACUUUGUAUUUUUCAUGCUUUUCCUGUAAAAUACUGUUUCAGUUGCUUAUAUGUACCACUAUUGUUGUCUUGCUACCUUUUUCUCCAAUGUAAAUUUUUGUGAUGUAGGUAUGUGGUUCGAAUUAAACAGUAUGUGAAUAUUGA